AUUGAACGCUUGCGGCAGGCCUAACACAUGCAAGUCGAACGAGUGGCGGACGGGUGAGUACUGUCUGGGAAACUGCCUGAUGGAGGGGGAUAACUACUGGAAACGGUAGCUAAUACCGCAUACCAUCGGAUGUGCCCAGAUGGGAUUGGCUAGUAGGUGGGGUAAAGGCUCACCUAGGCGACGAUCCAUAGCUGGUCUGAGAGGAUGACCGUCCACACUGGAACUGAGACACGUUCCAGCCUCCUACGGGAGGCAGAAGUGGGGAAGAUGGCACAAUGGGCGCAAGCCUGAUGCAGCCAUGCCGUGUGGAUGAAGAAGGCCUUCGGGUUGUAAAGUACUGUCAGCGGGGAGGCGUUACCCGCAGAAGAAGCACCGUCUAACUCCGUGCCAGCAGCCGCGGUAAUAC
rnacentral:rRNA from 1 species